rnacentral:lncRNA from 1 species
CUUUGAUACGAGGUGUCCGGAACCGGAAUCAUUAGCUACUACUGGAUAUGGUAUAAGUCUGAAAGUUCUAAUCUAGCUUUUAAGGGCAUAAGCCGAAUAAGAGGAUUGAGCUAGGCUUAAUAGACUAGGGUAACCAACCAACCCGCUCUUAUAUGAAAGUAAGAGACAUGCAACUACAAAGGCUUUGAAGCAAGCUUUAGGAGAGGUGGGCAAGGGAAGAAAGAGAAUCAGAGGAUGGAGCUGGGUUUACAGCCUCAACCAGUAGAGUAGUCCAGAGUACAGAACCAUCACAGUAUUUGUAGCCUGAGUAGAGGAUAAGACGGAGCCUAGCCUGUAGUUUAUGAGUUGAGAGCCGAGUUCAGGUAAGAAGAUAGUAGUCCUGUUGCAUCUGUAUUAGUUGACAGAGCCAGAGGUGAAGUAGUCUAAAGCAGCAAACGAUAAGUGAGUUGUUGCCGGGUAGCAAGUAUACGAGUAGUUAAGAGCUUCUUUGGAGCAAGAUCAGAGGGAUAGGGGCAAGGCUAGUAGAAAAGGUAUUUAUUCUCCUCUUAUUAGGGUAUGAGUAAAGGCGAACACUGAACUUAGUAGGAGGCGAGGAAGCUAGUCAAGUAAGUAAUCAGUAACAGAAGUAGGGUCGGGUCGGGCACUUAUAAGAGGUCGGUUCGGGUGCUUGUCUUGUGUUAAGCAAUGAGGAAAUAUAUCACCUUUGUAGGCUUGGCCCCUUACUAAAUUCUAGAUAAUCUUAUUAUAGGAUGACUGACAUUUAGGAUGACACUCGGGAUUCUACAACUCCUUAUAGAUAGCUGGUAUAGUCUACCAUUAAUUAUAAGGGCAGAGGCAAGAUCAGAGGAGAGGUCCGGCAAGUCAGAUAGAGUUAGUGCAGGUCGGGUGCUAGUGUUAAGCAAGUAGUCAAUCGAUAAGUUGUUGUUAAUUAAUCCAGAAAAAGCAAUAGAAAUUCUAUCUGUUAUUAGUAAGGAUUUAGUUUAGAAAGAGAGAAGCAGCUUUAAUAAGAGAAUAGUUGGAAGUUGCCGGAGCUCGGGUCUAUUAGAGGUCGGGUCGGUCGGGUGCUAAGAAGUUGGUUCGGGGAAGACAAGACAAUAAGUGUAUUGAGAGGAGAGGUCGGGUUCGGGAGACAGGGUUCCAUGAAUUGGAGUGAAAAGAGACUAUUCGAGGAAUUCGAGGAAGAAGAAAGUACUGGCUAGCAGUUCAGGGAAAGAAGAAAGUCAAGGCUUUGAUGCCAUAAAUAAGUACUGAGAGUUAGAGUCUAGAUAUGCAAGGUAUAAUCCUUAAGAGGUGGGCAAAAGGGAGACAAUAAACUCUCUAUCGGGGUAAAGUACUGGCUUUGAAGCGGGAAGUUCUGUGAAAAGGGGAGUUUCAUCUGUGAUCUGGAAUCAGUUCUCCUAUAAUAGAAUAUAAUAGAUAUGGGAUGUGGUUGCAGACACGCAUAACUGGAGUGGUUAGUUUCAAGAGCAAGAGAGGAAGCCGCAGGGUGCCUUUACUUUUGAUUGAUUAGAAGCCGGGGGUUAAUAAUAGAUUUAGAGUUGCGCGCAGGAAGUUGGCUUAGAGAGCUACAAUCACUAGACUUUAGAUCAGCGGUUUUCUACCUUCAUAGCCGUAGUCAACUAAUUCCAUUCCAAACUUCAAGGUCAAGGGGAGUUUCAACUGAUUGCCUGUCUUUCCUUCCCGCAACACCCCUUUCUCCUUAACUGCAAAAUCCAGAAAUCAAUCCAGUGCUCGUGCUCUCAAUCCGGGGGAGAUGAGUGGCCUUACGUAGUUGCUUGCCGGAUAGCAGUGGUUGGUUGGCCCCUACUUAAUUCAUUAUUAUCUUAUUAAGGAUCAAGUUGAGAAAGAUAGAAGUGCUUUGUUCGGGGGGAACUAUAUGGAACUAGUUGUCGACUUGCCUGAUAGCAAUUCCUCACUUCAAUACCUGCAUCGAGGUCAUCAAGGGAACCAUCAGAAGAGUUGAGGUCAGCAAGGGAAGCAGUUAGAAUAGAAGUAGGUACUCUCAAGUUCUAAUUUCACUACUAAGUAAUAGAGUUGACUACGCGGUAUUGAACUAAAGUGAUUACCGAGUCCUGUGUUUGGGGAAUUAGUUUCAUCCCGAGUGGAAUCUUCCUGCUGUGACCCAUAUUCUGCAUCUAAGGCAACUCAGUAGUUAAAGUCAGAAUGAUAGACCUAUGCCAAAUUCUCUGAUAGUGAACAAAGUAGUUGUAGUGAUAUUACCAAUCAGCCAAGGUAUACCUAUGAAAAGCACUAAGAUCAGAAUGAAACCACUGCCCAUAGGAAUCAAACUCUAGCUCCAGCAUAGGGGAAUCAAAGUAAGGCUUGGAAGCUAUGAAGCAAGGUUGUUACGCCUAGGCAGCAUCAGAAGAAAACUCAGUAGUACAGAAUUCCACUCAAAGCAAAGAGACUAGUACAUAUGGCUAUCAGGCAAGGAACGUAGUUAGUUACGCUAAAGUGUUGUUUCACGGGAAAACGUGACGAGUUGAAGACCUUUUAUCCCUAUUCGGCUCUGGCUCUGCUGGGCUUGUGGAAUUCUCUAUGUAUUGGCCCCUAGCCUGAGUCGAUGUCGGUGCUCUUGUUGAAGACCUUGUUGCGAGGGUAGUUUGUGAAGAAGCACUACAGGGUUGGGCAAGAAAGAAUCCCGUAUUUGGGGCUCCUCCUCUACUGGUCUCCUGUUCUUGUGAGAGUGGAUUUCUUUGUUUCAUCCGUUCUCCUACUUGAUGUUAAGGGUUGAAUCCGUUCUUAUUGGAUCAAAUGAAGGAGCUGUGGGAGUCGAGGAAUCAGAAAGUAAUGGCUUUGAAGCAAGCUUGAUAGGCUAGAGGUCGCUAAGUAUAUAUAUUCUUUCUAGGCAAUGUUGCAAGGUUAGUUUUAUGCUCACUGUAAACUUCCUUUCCAUUAUUAGAUGCGCUAGCAAUUAUGUAUUAGGGCCUUCCUUGCUUAUCUUAUUCUCUUGAAGUGAAGAAAUCAGAAUUAGUGGACUCGGUCUCAGGGAAGGGAGUGAAUCACUAGGCAGUGAAAGAGUUAAGAAGUAGCUUAUCGGCUUGGCUCAUAUAUCUCUUAUACCAUAUCUAAGGCUCGGCUUGAGCUAGCCUAAUAUGAGAAUGGAAAGGAGUUGGAUCUAUAGCAGAAGAAGAAUUCUUGUUACCCGCCUAGCCUAGGUAUUAUAGAAAGCUUGUUCCCCAGCUCUCGCUCUAGGUAUGAUAGAAAGAAGUAACCUCGGAUAGCUCCAUUAAGUACGGGCUCGGGGAGUUUACUGACUUGGAAGAAAAGAAAAGAGACCAGAAGGUUGUAGCUGUGCAAGGACUGGGUAGCCAGACAGAGCAGAGGUAGGCCCGGGAAGCUAUUCAAGCUAUCCGGCAAGUAGACAAGACAGAGUG